rfam:Cajanus cajan CcLG07_62, whole genome shotgun sequence.
GGAAUGAUUGGGCGUAAAGCGUCUGUAGGUGGCUUUUUAAGUUCGCCGUCAAAUCCCAGGGCUCAACCCUGGACAGGCGGUGGAAACUACCAAGCUGGAGUACGGUAGGGGCAGGGGGAAUUUCCGGUGGAGCGCUGAAAUGCGUAGAGAUCGGAAAGAACACCACUCACAUCUCUUUUAACCAAUUAAAGUGAAUGUCCUAUACUACUUCUCUCUCAUAAUUAAUACCGCU